AAGGAAGUUAAGUAAAAACCAGAACAAUGUGAGAAACAGAUAAAUUGCCAUGAUUUCGAGAUCGAAGAACUAACGAGAAGAAGAAGUCCCGGAAUGUAAUCAACUUGGACAGGUAAAGAGAUUGCAGCCAUACAUAAACAUGUGCAGGCUUAGCAAUGCAAACAUACUGAAAACAGGAUACACAACAUCCAUGUAAGAAACUUCAUUUGGACCAGAGAAGACGCCAGACAAAUGAGCCAACGUUGCGUAUACAAUGAACAACGACACGAAGCAACCCGUAAACAACCCUGAAACCAACCAACAAUUCGAGAGCUCAAAAGGCAUACCUUAUCGGAGCUGAUAAAGGCCGACUUUUUCACUCCUUGAAGAUAGCUCGCCGACGCCUUUUGGUUCGCCACCUGUUCCCCAAAAACAGGUUAAGUAUCACAAAUUUUAUAAUUAUGUGAUGUCCCAUAUUAUUAGAAACACCCUUUAUGAGGUUGUG